AGGGGUGUAGCUCAAGGGUAGAGUGCUUGUCUACCAUGCAUGAGAGUCCUGGGUUCAAUCCUCAGGACCACGA
rnacentral:tRNA from 1 species